rnacentral:rRNA from 1 species
CCUACGGGAGGCAGCAGUGGGGAAUUUUGGACAAUGGGCGCAAGCCUGAUCCAGCCAUGCCGCGUGUCUGAAGAAGGCCUUCGGGUUGUAAAGGACUUUUGUCAGGGAAGAAAAGGCGGGUGCUAAUACCAUCUGCUGAUGACGGUACCUGAAGAAUAAGCACCGGCUAACUACGUGCCAGCAGCCGCGGUAAUACGUAGGGUGCGAGCGUUAAUCGGAAUUACUGGGCGUAAAGCGAGCGCAGACGGUUUGUUAAGCAGGAUGUGAAAUCCCCGGGCUCAACCUGGGAACUGCGUUCUGAACUGGCAGGCUAGAGUGUGUCAGAGGGGGGUAGAAUUCCACGUGUAGCAGUGAAAUGCGUAGAGAUGUGGAGGAAUACCGAUGGCGAAGGCAGCCCCCUGGGA